rnacentral:rRNA from 1 species
UCAGGAUGAACGCUAGCUACAGGCUUAACACAUGCAAGUCGAGGGGCAGCAUGGUCUAGCUUGCUAAGAUGAUGGCGACCGGCGCACGGGUGAGUAACGCGUAUCCAACCUUCCCUAUAGUAGGGGAUAGCCCGUAGAAAUGCGGAUUAAUACCCUAUGUUGUAUUUUGAGGACAUCUGACAAAUACCAAAGGUUUACCGCUAUAGGAUGGGGGAUGCGUCUGAUUAGGUUGUUGGCGGGGUAACGGCCCACCAAGCCUACGAUCAGUAGGGGUCUGAGAGGAAGGUCCCCCACAUUGGAACUGAGACACGGUCCAAACUCCUACGGGAGGCAGCAGUGAGGAAUAUUGGUCAAUGGGCGAGAGCCUGAACCAGCCAAGUAGCGUGCAGGAUGACGGCCCUAUGGGUUGUAAACUGCUUUUAUGCGGGGAUAAAGUGAGGGACGUGUCCCUUAUUGUAGGUACCGCAUGAAUAAGGACCGGCUAAUUCCGUGCCAGCAGCCGC